GUACCGUGAGGGAAAGAUGAAAAGAACUUUGAAAAGAGAGUUAAACAGUACGUGAAAUUGUUGAAAGGGAAACGAUUGAAGUCAGUCAUACCAACGGGAAAUCAACCUUUUGAGCUUGGUCUCGUGGGUUUUGAAGAGUUUCAAAGCCUUCGGAUUCGCGGGAUUGGGAUCUCUUGGUGUACUUUUUCGUACGGUUAGUCAACAUCGGUUUUGAAUGUCAUAAAAUGACUGGAGAAAUGUAGCUUCGAUCUCGUAUUGAAGUGUUAUAGCCUUUGGUAGAUGUGAUGUUUGAGACCGAGGAUUGCAACGGAUACCCUUUAGGGCUAUUCGUCUGAUCUCUGAUACGUUGCCUUGAUAUUGAAAGCUUGCUUAUGAUGUUAGGGUAUUACGGUCAAAAGGUUAGAACGGAUUAGAUUCGUUAAGG
rnacentral:rRNA from 1 species